rnacentral:rRNA from 1 species
CUUUGGGAUAACCCUCGGAAACGGGGGCUAAUACCGGAUAUGACCUCGCAUCGCAUGGUGUGUGGUGGAAAGUUUUUCGGCCUGGGAUGGGCUCGCGGCCUAUCAGCUUGUUGGUGGGGUGAUGGCCUACCAAGGCGACGACGGGUAGCCGGCCUGAGAGGGCGACCGGCCACACUGGGACUGAGACACGGCCCAGACUCCUACGGGAGGCAGCAGUGGGGAAUAUUGCACAAUGGGCGGAAGCCUGAUGCAGCGACGCCGCGUGAGGGAUGACGGCCUUCGGGUUGUAAACCUCUUUCAGCAGGGACGAAGCGUAAGUGACGGUACCUGCAGAAGAAGCGCCGGCCAACUACGUGCCAGCAGCCGCGGUAAGGCGUAGGGCGCGAGCGUUGUCCGGAUAUAUUGGGCGUAAAGAGCUCGUAGGCGGCUUGUCGCGUCGACCGUGAAAACCUGGGGCUCAACCCCAGGCCUGCGGUCGAUACGGGCAGGCUAGAGUUCGGUAGGGGAGACUGGAAUUCCUGGUGUAGCGGUGAAAUGCGCAGAUAUCAGGAGGAACGCCGGUGGCGAAGGCGGGUCUCUGGGCCGAUACUGACGCUGAGGAGCGAAAGCGUGGGGAGCGAACAGGAUUAGAUACCCUGGUAGUCCACGCUGUAAACGUUGGGCGC